GCCUACGGGGGGCAGCAGUGAGGAAUAUUGGUCAAUGGGCGCGAGCCUGAACCAGCCAAGUAGCGUGAAGGAUGACUGCCCUACGGGUUGUAAACUUCUUUUAUAAAGGAAUAAAGAGAGGCACGUGUGCCUUUUUGUAUGUAUUUUAUGAAUAAGGAUCGGCUAACUCCGUGCCAGCAGCCGCGGUAAUACGGAGGAUCCGAGCGUUAUCCGGAUUUAUUGGGUUUAAAGGGAGCGUAGAUGGGUUGUUAAGUCAGUUGUGAAAGUUUGCGGCUCCACCGUAAAAUUGCAAUUGAUACUGGCAG
rnacentral:rRNA from 1 species